rnacentral:snRNA from 1 species
AUUUAGGAUCGAGUCUGGAGUGU